UAUCUGCACAGUAGUUUUUGUUGCCUUCCUUAGCUUGUUGGGUACCUGUUUAUUUUCUGUUUAGGAGGACCGAUUUGUCCUGAGGUUGUGUCCUUUCUCAAGGAAUUUUUUGUUCCUAUCUGAUACUAGCAGACAAAUUGGUUGCAGGGUAGCCGGGGUAGGUCUUUCUGCAUAUGCAUUUGAAUAUGAGAUGUCUCAAGAUUGUUGGUCUACUUCUUUUGGUCUUAUACUGACUCUGUCUUUGGUCAGGACAACUUGGAACAACUUGUGUGUCCCUCUCAGAUUCCUACAGAAGAAAGGAUGCAUUUUCUUUUCUAUUGGAUGGACAACAACAUAACCACAACAAUAGGUCUAUCAGAAGAAGCAGGAGCGAAGCAAAGGCAGGAUUCCAUGAUGAGUUUGGAGUUUACCCUCUGUUCUUGGAAAUUGAAAUUGUCUCUCAUGCGAGCGGCGACCUUUUCUUAGCCAUGUGGCAUGCCGCUCCAAGCCACUCCGCUUUCCAUCAAUGCCGACAACCACAGCAGGGGUGGAUCCAGCCGACAAGAGGCAGAGCGGCGGUCAAUGGUGGUGGCCUGCUCCCAAGCUGCAGUGCUUUGGAGAAGAUGAACAUGAGGCCCCAACCUGCACUGGCAUAGCUAGGCAGGGGAGUAUCCUUCCACUUGACAUUUCCUUCUCAGUUUUGUAUGUUUAAUUUUUAGAGCUGUGGUUACUCUGAAAACUGAGAUGUGGAGAUUGCGGUAUUGAUCUUAGUUCAAUCCAUUCUAUUACGUAGCCUCGCUUUGUUAUCCAUGAUUUCCCUCAUUUGAUUGAUUUGACACAUGUUCAUUCACUACAUUAUAGUCUACUUCGUGUAUUUAGUUCUAGGUUGUUUUGAUCUAAGUGGUACUUGGAUUUCUUGGCAUUGUUCAUUGCCUCGAGCCAUGUCUGAUACUGAAUUUGACCAUGAUCCUCUUGUAGUAAAUAUGACUUAUUUGCUCUCUAUUGGAAUAUUUCUUUUCACAUAUUGCUAGCUCCUUAGGUGUAAUGUUGUUUAAAAUAUUUGUCCUGGAGCUCCUUUGCUCCUGUUCUUGGUGUAGAUAAACCAAAACUGCUCCUUUUAGGCCAUCCAAGAGUCUUAAACGACCAACAUUGUAAUUAGCAUAUGUGGACAGUUACGCUACAAUGCCCCCAAUUAUUUUUCAGUGAUAACUCUUGCUCCAAAUUUUGCUUUUCGGGAGGUGGUUGAGGUAGAGAUUGUUGUGUUGUGGCAGUGCACACUACGGUGCCGGGUUGCAUAGGGGCAUGCCCUUUCUUAGUAUUCAAAUAUCAUGUACUAAUUGUGUUUUCACUUUGUAUUGCUUACUCACAGAUGUCACCGGAAGCGUCAUGGUUAUUUCUUAAGCUCACCAAAUAUUUCUCUUCAUAUUUUGUAUGUCUGACAACUUCCCGUUACACAGUUCUGCUUUUGGCUGGACAAGCUGUCUACUCUCUGGUCUAUUCUUAAAUAGGCAUGUUGGUCUUUUCUAACAUAACCAGCCUGCCAUUUCUAUUACUCGCAGAACAUUUCACUUUCUGUCAAUAAGCAUUUAUCUCUAUUCUAACUUGGUGUAAAGUAGCCUUGAUGAUGUGUGGAGGCGGUCUGCUCAGUGUAAGAACAAAUAGUUGGUGGCUCCCAUUUUUAUCUCAUUUCGUAAAUCAGUGUAAGGACUGUUAGUAAGGUUGAUCAUCGGCAAGCGAAAGUGCUUCGUGGAUGCUUGCACGACCAAGCCCUUCAAGCUCCCAGAGUGCAAACACCAUGAGAUAGGGAUGUGAAACGGAAGGAAAGAAGGCCCUGACCACUCUCAUCAUUUACUCAAAUAAUAACACUUAUCGGCGAUAGGAACGACAAGUUGACGCAGCUGACGGCGAUCCUCGGCAGCGAGACAAGUGUAUGGAAAAUUCAGUUUCUUUAGUGAACUCAGUUGAACCUUGCAAUUGGACAGCUUUUGGGAGUUGGUCCAAACUUAAUGCAUUCAUGGGAUCACCAAUUUUUGGCGAUGGUUGAGAUUGGAUCGUUUCUUGGUGGCUGCUAAUGAAUCAUGUAAGGAUGGUGCAGAAUUCAUCAGAGGAAAAAGACCGAACUACGGAGUUUCCCCAUUGUUAGAGCUCUUGGUGCCCGGACAAGCCCUCUAUCUCGAUUCUCCCUUCGCAGCUCAGCUCCACCGACCAGAAGGCGAUGGCUGACGAAGAGCUCGAUGUCCAUGGCUCGUUAGGUUCCGCUGGCUCCACUAACAACCGUCUACGGGCGCUUGCACAGGAUACCAAGCGAGUGUUUAGGAUCCCACACCGGGCAUUUCUUGACAUGCUCCUAGCACACCUUACGCUAAUCACCGGCUCUGUAUGAUCGUGUUGUACAUGACGACGGCAAGAUUGUGUGACCAUCUUUUUCAACACCUCUACAUUGGAUCUUGGAGGACCAAUCAGUAUGAACGCGUCGUGUCGUCAUUCCUCCUGGUCUACAUUAUGCCCAAGACAUGCAAAGUUGUGGAUUGUCUGUAAGCUACCAUGUGCUUUUGUACGUCCUAUGCCUGUGAUAUUUGCUACUAAACCUAUUGUGCUACGUGCUUUCUAUGUUCAUACAUUGUUAGGUGGCUCCUUAUUGUGUGCAUACAAACAA